rnacentral:rRNA from 1 species
GUAGGGAAUAUUGGGCAAUGGAUGCAAGUCUGACCCAGCCAUCCCGCGUGCCGGAAGAAGGCCCUCAGGGUUGUAAACGGCUUUUGACGGUGAAGAAUCGACAGGAUGCGUCCUGUUUUGACGGUAGCCGUUGAAUAAGCACCGGCUAACUCCGUGCCAGCAGCCGCGGUAAUACGGAGGGUGCGAGCGUUGUCCGGAUUUAUUGGGUUUAAAGGGUGCGUAGGCUGGAAGGUCAGUCAGCGGUGAAAAGCUGUCGCUUAACGAUAGUCUUGCCGCAGAUACUUCCUUUCUUGGAUGAGGAGGAGGCCACUGGAACGGAUGGUGUAGCGGUGAAACGCAUAGAUAUCAGCCAGAACACCGAUUGCGAAGGCAGGUGGCUGUACCUUAAUCGACGCUGAUGCACGAAAGCAUGGGGAGCAAACAGGAUUAGAAACCCCGGUAGUCC